rnacentral:rRNA from 1 species
AUGGAUCCGCCGGUCAUCGGCGACCCUGGUUUCCCGAGGUGCCGCCCCUUACCCAACUACCCACCAUUCCUCGGCAACAACCCCUACGUCUCCCCCCAUCAGCCGCCGCCGCCGCCGCCCCCAGGGUAUGUGGAGAAGGAGUAUAUGCCCUGCCCUUCCCAGCCUGCCUGGCGACAUUCCCAGUACCCUCAGAGGCCACCCGGGCGCCGUCUUAUCCCAUCUCUAGGGCUACCUUUCCUGUGCCGGAAACAAUAUGAGUGGGGUAUUGAUUUCUACAUCAGGAUCGACAAUGCGGGAUACUACCAUGCUUAUCCUUAUGUUGGUGGGCCAUUUCAGAACCUACAAGAAACAGAACAUGCUAUCGAGCGCUAUCUUCAUGAUCGUCGGGAUCCAAAAAUGUUCUCGAUGGAUAAUAUGUCUCGAGUGGACAUCGCUGUACGAAACUCCCUUUACUUUCCUGAUGGCACAAGGAGGAGACGUUUGAGAUCGGAACCGGUUGAUGAAAUCCGUGAUAGCCAGCGCCAGUUGGUUAAUGCUUUGAUGGACAAGUAUAAUGAGGACAACAAUCUGCUGGGGGAUCUUGCAUAUGAAGUGAACGUUGUAGUGUGGUACCAACCGUUUUGUGAGGGUGAUCUCCGUAUGUGGUAUCAUCAUAUCAAUUUCACUGCAAGGACUAAAGCAACAGCUUAUUGCGAGUUCUUCUUCGCUGAAGUCAUAUUUAUGCAAGAAAAAUCUUUGGAAUUGCCAGUCAGCUGUUUAUGCAGGCUUAAACCUACUGAUAAUGCUAACUGCUUUGGUUGUAUAAACAAUGGAAGUGUUGAUAUGAUGCAUCCCAGUGAUGUUGGUUAUGCUGGUGGCCAUGCGAUGAACACUUACCAGCCAUUCAGUGGACCUAGGGUAAUGCCAGGAAGCUGUGAAGAGGAAAGCUACGAAGCUGAGGAGGCCAGGUUGAGAAGUACUUUACAGUGCCUUGAUGAUCCAGAGAUGAUGGAAGGACCACCGAAACCGUCUAAAUUCUGGGACAGUCUUGUUAAGGUAUACACUGGACCACCGGGAUACUCGGACCGAGACCGUGUACCACCAGGAUUCCCGGGCAGUGGACACAGUGCACCCCCGGCCCCACCUGCACAAUACUUUGGGGUUGGCAGUGGUGCUACGCAAUGCUUUGCACCUCCAGGUCUCUCGGGGUUGUCUUCUUCAUAA